rnacentral:lncRNA from 1 species
AUGAUGGUGACGAUGGUGAUGAUGGUGGACACAACCCUAACCCAGGGUACACAGGUUAGUGAGAAAAGCUCUGGCUGGAUUCAGCUUUGUUUAUUCAUCUCCUCACAUGGAUGUUCUUUGUGGCCAUCUAAGAUAGAACAACAGCCUUCAAAGUUGCCUAACUCACUUUCCCACAUUCAGGCUCCUCUACCCCAUGACUUCCACCUCUUCCCCGCUGCCCGCAAUCCACUGGCACUCUCCGUAGCAGGAAGGAGAAAUAAGUGGCUUGACAGCUUUGACGCGAUUCUUGACAGUGGUGGCACACAAUGCUCUGGGCAGGAGACCCUGUUUCCACCAACCUAG